rnacentral:rRNA from 1 species
ACGGGUAGCCGGCCUGAGAGGGUGACCGGCCACACUGGGACUGAGACACGGCCCAGACUCCUACGGGAGGCAGCAGUGGGGAAUAUUGCACAAUGGGCGAAAGCCUGAUGCAGCGACGCCGCGUGAGGGAUGACGGCCUUCGGGUUGUAAACCUCUUUCAGUAGGGAAGAAGCGAAAGUGACGGUACCUGCAGAAGAAGCGCUGGCUAACUACGUGCCAGCAGCCGCGGUAAUACGUAGGGCGCAAGCGUUAUCCGGAUUUAUUGGGCGUAAAGAGCUCGUAGGCGGUUUGUCGCGUCUGCCGUGAAAGUCUGAGGCUCAACCUCGGAUCUGCGGUGGGUACGGGCAGACUAGAGUGAUGUAGGGGAGACUGGAAUUCCUGGUGUAGCGGUGAAAUGCGCAGAUAUCAGGAGGAACACCGAUGGCGAAGGCAGGUCUCUGGGCAUCUACUGACGCUGAGGAGCGAAAGCAUGGGGAGCGAACAGGAUUAGAUACCCUGGUAGUCCAUGCCGUAAACGUUGGGCACUAGGUGUGGGGAACAUUCCACGUUUUCCGCGCCGUAGCUAACGCAUUAAGUGCCCCGCCUGGGGAGUACGG